GAUCAACGCUGGCGGCGUGCCUAAUGCAUGCAAGUCGAACGGGGUGCCUUCGGGUACUUACGUGGCGGACGGGUGAGGAACACGUGGGCAAUCUGUCCUGAGGUGGGGGGUAGCCUUCGGAAACGGAGGGUAAUUCCGCAUGUGCACGUUGACCUGUGGGGUUGAUGUGGAAAGAUCUUCGGAUCGCCUGAGGGGGAGCCUGCGGCCGAUUAGCUAGCUGGUGGGGUAAUGGCCUACCAGGGCGGUGAUCGGUAGCUGGUCUGAGAGGACGGCCAGCCACAUGGGGACUGAGACACGGCCCCAACUCCUACGGGAGGCAGCAGCAAGGAAUUUCCGCAAUGGGGGAAACCCUGACGGAGCAACGCCGCGUGCGGGAUGACGCUUUUCGGAGUGUAAACCGCUUUUCUCAGGGAAGAUGAAGGACGGUACCUGAGGAAGAAGGCCCGGCUAACUACGUG
rnacentral:rRNA from 1 species